UCUCUGUACUGUGCUGAGUUGGCCCUCAGUAGUCUGUGACAUUUCUCAUCUAGUUAUUAAUAAUGUUGACAUGUAUAUUUUAAAUCUCCCAUUGUAUCGUGACCCAGCUCUCUACUCUGUUUGUAGCAAAGAGUUAAUGGUUUUGGAGGAAGGCAUGCUACACAACCUUUGUGCCAAAUGAUUUUAUGGUUGCCAGGUUCCCACUGGGUGCUGGGAACACAGGAGCGGACAAAAAGUCCCGGUCCUGUCCUCUGGGGAGUCCAUAGUUUACUGGAAAGAAUAUCAAGUAAAACAAAAAGCAUGAUGGAACUGAAGCUUAUGAGAAGUUCUUGGAAAAGACCAGGUUUCUCUGAAAAGAUACCGUGACGGUGGUUAGGGAAGGCCUGUGUGGGAGAGUCAUUCAAGACCUGGAGAUUGGUUGGGGUUGUCGCAGGGCGCGGUGGUGGGGAGGGUCUAUGUGUGAGCGGGGGUCCCUGGAAGAGGCGGUGUGGCUUCAGGGCAGAAUGAGGGUGACCGUGGCUGGCGUGAGGCUGCUGAGGGUAGGCUGGGGUCUGGUGGUGCAGGACCUGCCAGGCCAAGCUGAGAACUUUGGAUUGUAGCCCAAACCCCCUGGGGCAUCACUGAAAAGGUUUUUGUUUUGUUUUUCUUUCUUUAUUUUUAAUCGGGGUGAAAUUUAUACAACAUAAGCUGAAGCAUUUUAAAGUGAACAAAUCGGCGUUUUGUGUGUUCACGGCGUUCUGCGGUUGCCACCCGUGUCUAUCCUAAAACAUUUCCACCACCCGGAAUGGAAACCCCCGACCCAUGCAGCAGUCGUGGGCUUUAGGGAGUCACGUGGUGCGAUUUUAUUGCGUAACAUCUUUCUGGCAAGCUUUUGGAGACGGAAUUAGAGAGGGCAAGAGUGGAAGCAAGACAAGCAACUGGGAAAUUAGAGUCGACUGCAGGAAGAGGUGGUGGCAGUGGUUUCCUGGACCAGGGGGGCCAGAGGAGUCACCCGAGACGUGGAGAAGGGUGGGGUGAGCCGCGUGAGCGUUGGACCGUCUCGUGCGAUGAUCUGCAAGUGGCUUGGUCACUUUGUAAUAGCCUACGAAAGUGUUUCCCAAAGGGUGAUCCAUACCCCGUUGAGACGUGUGGAGGAUGCUUGUUGGAGGUUGAAGGUCGCCAGCAGUCCAUCCAAGAGGGAUGAAUCAGAACGAGACACAGGAUAGAAAAAUGGAUUGCCUAGAGCGUGCUUGUGACUUUGAGUGAGAGAGAUGCUUUUCCGAGAUGUAUCUUUGACUUAAUCCCGAAGGCGGACUGGGAUGUGUAAUGUAGAUAAUUUUAUGGGUGGUGUUUGUUUUUGAUUCUUUUCCCUUGGGGAGUAUCCUGCCUCUCCCUGAGUGACUUGUGAACAGUGGCAUUAUCAUGAAAUACAAUGUAGGUACUGUGUAGUAAUUUAUUGUGUUGAUGUUUGGUCGCUAAAUCACGGUCUGACUCUUUUGUGACCACAUGGGCUGUAGCCCGCCGGGCUCCUGUGUCUAUGGGAUUCUCCUGGCACGAACCAUGGAGUGAGUUGCCAUUUCCUUCUGCAGAGAUCUGCCCAACCUGGGGAUCGAACCAGCAUCUCCUGCUUGGCAGGCAGAUUCUUUACCACUGAGCCACCUGGGAAGCCUAAUUUAUUGUUUAAAAAAAAAAAAAAGCCAACAACUGCAGGAAAUUAACUUGUAAAGAAAAUCAUCUUGGUAUUUUUGGAGUUACCUUCUAGUUACAAGAUUCUUACAACUUUAAAGAGAGAUUUCCUCAAAUUAACUGACUUUAGAGCCAAAGUUUUUGAGACUUCAUAUCAGAAAAUCCUACAAGCUGUAGUAAAAAUCACCAACAAAGAGAUGGAGAUUUUUGUCUUUGACUUCUGUUUUCCACUUGCCUUUGGUAUGUUUUUCUAACCCAGUGCUACCUCUUACAGACAGAAUUUCCCGCCGCGUCUCAGCCACUCAGAUGAUUCUGUCCUAAUGGUGUUUGGAUCUUUCAAAUAAUCGUCUUCCUCCCAACAGUUGAGAUAAUACGUUUGGUUGACUUAUACCUUUAGAACUGAGAUGCUCAUGGAGAGCAUCUGGCUUUCUGGUCUACCUGAAGCCAUCACCUUUGGAGAGCUUGAAGGGUUGUCACAGUCCUCGCUGCUGGGGAGUGGGGUUAGGUUUGUGGGGGGACUGUCCCCAUGAGAAAAGGGUGCGGCUGUCCGCCAGCAGCCAAGGGGUUAAGCUCUCUGCACCCCAGCAUGGCAGCAUCCCACAGCAGCCCCGCCCUGUGCCCUUUUCCUGCCCACUGGCACUGCUCUUUCUGGAAGCAGCUGUGGGUUGCCCUCUCUCUGCCCCUCCUGCCCUCCCCCACUCCCGCUUUCCCUUUUGGGAAAAUGAGGUGCUCAGCUUCUUUAAGAAGAUGUUUCAUUUUGGUUAAUAUUAUUUCCACUCUCCUAGAAAGACGCUUAGGCACCUCGGGCUGUGUUUCUUUUUCAGCAGUGUACAAACUCAGAUCUUAAAGUGGUUUCACUGCUUCAUCAUGGAAUUUUAUGAAGAAAUAAUAUUUUGAGUGUCUGGCUAGCAUCUUCUUUUUUUUUAAUCUUGAAACACUUCGGAUUUGUGAGGGAUAGGAGGUAAAACUGUCCACUUAUUUUACGCUCAAGAUACACAGAAUCAGUAAAUAACUUUCCUUAAAGCUUGAUUUUUCUGUGCCCUGCCCAAAUACAUGUUGUUAUAUGAGAGCAAACACUUUAGAAGAAUACAAAGAGGAAGGUUAAAGUCUUCAGAAAUACUGGAGCUAACCUUUGCUGACAUUUUAGUAAAGUUCUUCCAGGCAUAUCUCUCUGUCUCUGUCUCUGUCUCUCUCUCUCUCUAUAUAUAUAUAUGUAUGUAUGUAUCUGCACGUGUACAUGUAUGCAUGAUAUACAGAUGAAAUUCUAAAUAAAAGGGAUUUUGCUGUGCAUGCUAUUCUGUAAUCUACUCUGUUGUUCUACUGACGUGUGCUGGGCAUCCUUCCAUGUCAGCAAAUAUAUCUUAUCUUUUUAAUGACUGAAUAGUUGUACUGGAUGCUUUUCAUUGUGAGUAAUGCAAAUCCCAGGGCAAACUAGCUUAAAUAAUAGAACAUACUGAAAAAUCCUGUGGGCUGGGGCUCAGGCAUGAUUUAAUCAGGAUUCAGGAUUUCUUUCUUUAGAACUUGCUUUUUUCCUUGCACCUCAUGGUGGCAAAACAGCUGAAGUUCUAGGGACCCAUUCACUGUCCAGUGAAAGAUAGCUGCUCUUAAUCAUCAAAUAAACAAAUCAUCAUCAUCAUCAAAAAAAAAAAAAAAGAAAUCCUGGCUUCCUUCUGCUUGAA